rnacentral:rRNA from 1 species
GAUGAACGCUGGCGGCGUGCCUAAUACAUGCAAGUCGAGCGAACAGACGAGGAGCUUGCUCCUCUGACGUUAGCGGCGGACGGGUGAGUAACACGUGGAUAACCUACCUAUAAGACUGGGAUAACUUCGGGAAACCGGAGCUAAUACCGUAUAACAUGUUGAACCGCAUGGUUCAACAGUGAAAGACGGUCUUGCUGUCACUUAUAGAUGGAUCCGCGCCGCAUUAGCUAGUUGGUAAGGUAACGGCUUACCAAGGCAACGAUGCGUAGCCGACCUGAGAGGGUGAUCGGCCACACUGGAACUGAGACACGGUCCAGACUCCUACGGGAGGCAGCAGUAGGGAAUCUUCCGCAAUGGGCGAAAGCCUGACGGAGCAACGCCGCGUGAGUGAAGAAGGUCUUCGGAUCGUAAAACUCUGUUAUUAGGGAAGAACAAAUGUGUAGUAACUAUGCACGUCUUGACGGUACCUAAUCAGAAAGCCACGGCUAACUACGUG